GUGACGGUUAACGGGGAAUUAGGGUUCAAUUCCGGAGAGGGAGCCUGAGAAACGGCUACCACAUCUAAGGAAGGCAGCAGGCGCGCAAAUUACCCAAUUCUAACAGCAUAAGAGAGGUAGUGACAAGAAAUAACAGUACAAGGCAGUUAAAAUGCUUUGUAAUUGGAAUGAUAGAAAUUUAAAUACUUUUUAAAGUAUCAAUUGGAGGGCAAGUCUGGUGCCAGCAGCCGCGGUAAUUCCAGCUCCAAUAGCGUAUAUUAAAAUUGUUGCAGUUAAAAAGCUCGUAGUUGAAUUUUUGCUAAAAAUAACCGGUCUGCUUUUAUUAAUAAAAGUGGUAUCUUGGUGUGUUUUUAGCAAUAAUGUCCUUUGAAAUGUUUUUUACUUUAAUGUAAAAAACAAUUUUCAGGAUUUUUACUUUGAGAAAAUUAGAGUGUUUCAAGCAGGCUAACGUUUUGAAUACUGCAGCAUGGAAUAAUAAAAUAGGAUUUUAGUUCUACGUUAUUGGUUUUAAGAACUAAAUUAAUGAUUGAUAGGAGCAGUUGGGGGCAUUUGUAUUUAACUGUCAGAGGUGAA
rnacentral:rRNA from 1 species